GUAGUGGUCACCGCAAGGUUUCUGGUGGUGACACCAGACAUGACUCAGGCCGUUUGCUCGUUGCGAGCGGCCUUCCGGCAACGCCGGACAGCAUCAACCCGCCGGUGUCGACACCGGC
rnacentral:ncRNA from 2 species